rnacentral:rRNA from 1 species
UACGGGGGGGGCAAGCGUUGUUCGGAAUUACUGGGCGCAAAGGGCGCGUAGGCGGGUGGACAAGUCUCUCGUGAAAGCCCACGGCUCAACCGUGGAAUUGCGGGAGAUACUGUCUGUCUUGAGUCCGGGAGAGGAGGGUGGAAUUCCCAGUGUAGCGGUGAAAUGCGUAGAUAUUGGGAGGAACACCGGCGGCGAAGGCGGCUCUCUGGACCGGUACUGACGCUGAGGUGCGAAAGCUAGGGGAGCAAAUGGG